rnacentral:lncRNA from 10 species
CAAAAAACUAUGAAGAAAAAAAGAAGAAAGGAAGAAGGGUAAAGAAGAGGAGAAAGGAAGGAAAUGUCAGCUCAGUAAGAGCAGGGAUUUUUGUCCAUUUUGUUCAUUGCUUUAUCCAAGUCUCUACAACUGAACUGGUAUAUAAAAAGUACUCAAUAAGCAGUUGCUUAAUAAAUGUAUGAGUAAAGAAAUGAAUAAAUAGUAAAUUAGGCCUGAAUAGUUGAUACUUUUCAGGUCUAAAAUGAAACAAUUAAUGGGAAUAUAUUAUGGAGGAGCACUUCUAAACUUGUUCAUGAAUGACUACAACUUUUACCACUCCCAUCGGCCCCUGUCCCUCCAAAGUUAAAAGCAAAUUAAAGAAUACGCUUGGUUAGAUGUGUAAUCUCAGUUUAGGUAGAACUAUUCUAAUUCUGGUUGUAUUCACUAGUUGCAUAAUCAUUUGAAUAAUAAUUGCCCCCAUGUAGAUUUUUAGAGAGAUUGGGAUAAGAACAGAAAUCAGCUUGUCCCUGGGAAUGGCUACUAUUCAUAAUUGAAUAGAACUGCAUCUUGUAGUUUAAUGCUCAACAACAUCUGAUGGCAGAAUAGCAUGUCUGCUUUGGAAAAAGGUAUUAGACACUCUGCCUGAAGUCUUCCCACUUAUACUGUGACACCUAUAAAGGUUACAAGCACGCUCACAGCAUACCAUUCUACUCAAUAAUCUCUGAGAUUUCUUGACAUUUUUAGCUAAAACUCAUCAGGCUGGAUGACGUUAACAAGACUUCUAUGUUAAUCUCUCUGAUAAUGCAAUGUUAAUUCUCAAAUGUUUCCAACAAAUUAUUAGGGCUGUCGUACUAAACAACUUCUUUUAUAUUGUAUAGCUUAUAUGGGUAUGUUUGAUAAUGCUGUUUAAGCUGCUAAUUCCAACAUAUUUUUAUACUUCUUACACAAAAACACUCAAUUUCAUAUCUGAUUCUAUAUUGUUUGUUUAUCCCAAACUCCUACUCUUGUACUUAUACAUAAAGCUAAACACGUUAGCUUUAUAUCUCAAUGUAAAAGUAGAAUAAUUGGAUGAUCAUAAAUAUAAUCAUUUAUUGAGGCCUAGAAUGUAUACUCCAUACAGAAUUUUUCUCUCUUGCUGACUACUAUAUCUCCAACAACUAAGAAUGUAUGACAUAUUACACACACUCA